rnacentral:rRNA from 1 species
CAGAGUAUCAAUUGGAGGGCAAGUCUGGUGCCAGCAGCCGCGGUAAUUCCAGCUCCAAUAGCGUAUAUUAAAAUUGUUGCAGUUAAAAAGCUCGUAGUUGAAUUUCUGCUGCAUUGCUUUUGCUCCUUUACGAGUCUUUGCAUUGUGGCUUAUUUCGGACUUUGUUUUACAAUGUCCGGAUGUUUACUUUGAGAAAAUUAGAGUGCUCAAAGCAGGCUUUCGCCUUGAAUAGUUUAGCAUGGAAUAAUAAAGUAGGACUUUGGUUCUAUUUUGUUGGUUUUAGGUACCAAAGUAAUGGUUAAUAGGAACAGUUGGGGGCAUUCGUAUUUAACUGUCAGAGGUGAAAUUCUUAGAUUUGUUAAAGACGAACUACUGCGAAAGCAUUUGCCAAGGAUGUUUUCAUUAAUCAAGAACGAAAGUUAGGGGAUCGAAGACGAUCAGAUACCGUCGUAGUCCUA